rnacentral:rRNA from 1 species
GGCGAGGGGAGUGAAAAAGAACCUGAAACCGUGUACGUACAAGCAGUGGGAGCACAGAGCAAUCUGUGUGACUGCGUACCUUUUGUAUAAUGGGUCAGCGACUUAUAUUCUGUAGCAAGGUUAACCGAAUAGGGGAGCCGAAGGGAAACCGAGUCUUAACUGGGCGUUAAGUUGCAGGGUAUAGACCCGAAACCCGGUGAUCUAGCCAUGGGCAGGUUGAAGGUUGGGUAACACUAACUGGAGGACCGAACCGACUAAUGUUGAAAAAUUAGCGGAUGACUUGUGGCUGGGGGUGAAAGGCCAAUCAAACCGGGAGAUAGCUGGUUCUCCCCGAAAGCUAUUUAGGUAGCGCCUCGUGAAUUCAUCUCCGGGGGUAGAGCACUGUUUCGGCAAGGGGGUCAUCCCGACUUACCAACCCGAUGCAAACUGCGAAUACCGGAGAAUGUUAUCACGGGAGACACACGGCGGGUGCUAACGUCCGUCGUGAAGAGGGAAACAACCCAGACCGCCAGCUAAGGUCCCAAAGUCAUGGUUAAGUGGGAAACGAUGUGGGAAGGCCCAGACAGCCAGGAUGUUGGCUUAGAAGCAGCCAUCAUUUAAAGAAAGCGUAAUAGCUCACUGGUCGAGUCGGCCUGCGCGGAAGAUGUAACGGGGCUAAACCAUG